rnacentral:rRNA from 1 species
UAGGGAAUAUUGGACAAUGGACGAAAGUCUGAUCCAGCAAUGCCGCGUGAGUGACGAAGGAUUUCGGUCUGUAAAGCUCUUUUCUGAGGGAAGAAAUGAAAAGUGAGGUAAUGCUCUUUUCUUGACGGUACCUCAGGAAUAAGGGACGGCUAACUCCGUGCCAGCAGCCGCGGUAAUACGGAGGUCCCAAGCGUUGUUCGGAAUUACUGGGCGUAAAGGGAGCGCAGGCGGACAGGUCAGUCUAAAGUGGAAUCCCGGGGCUCAACCUCGGAACUGCUUCGGAUACUGCCUGUCUUGAGUUCGUGAGAGGAAAGCGGAAUUCAGGGUGUAGCGGUGAAAUGCUUAGAUAUCCUGAGGAACACCAAUGGCGAAGGCAGCUUUCUGGCGCGAUACUGACGCUGAGGCUCGAAAGCGUGGGGAGCGAACGG